ensembl:lncRNA
CCCUCAUCCUGCCACGUGUCAACAGUGAGAAGAAACCAACCCCACUCACCUUUCAGGGAUUUGAAGAGAGCAAUAAGGAAAAAAAGAAAAAAAAGAAAGAAAGAAAGGAAGAAAAAAAAACACAGGAAAAAGAGAUUACCAGUGAUAUCCUGUAAAACUGAAAUAAAGCCUUUUUCAGUGCUACAUAAUCCAAGGAAAAAUAUCAUUCCUGCUUUUGAAAUUCCUGGACAUAUCCUAGGAGUGCUGUUCCAGAGCCUGAAGGAUUGCAACCACACAAAAUAAAAUGACUAGAAAGUGUAAAGAGGUCUCAGUAACAUGGGGGAAGCUGGAGAAGUAGCAGAGCACAGAUGCUGAAAAAGAAUAACAGGAAAAAGACAGUCCAACUAUCAUGGGAUGGACAGACAGGGUAAUGAAGGAUUAGAGUGUUCUCUUGGAAGUUUUCUAACAGGCACCGUGGUAUAUACUGAAGACUGAUCUACUUGGAAGUGAUGAUGAUGAUGAUGAUAAUAACAAAUAUUUUAGUUAUAUUAUUUUUGAUCUAACCUCCUCUGUUUAAGAAUGUUAAUUUUUUAGUAUGUAUGCUAAAAACAUCUGUCACCUCAAAACUCUUGUUUAUUCAGUCUUUUUUAUUUAUAGACAGUUGUAAAGUAGGUGUUGAAAGGAAUCCAAGAAGGCCAUACAGUUGAUACCCCUCUAGCCAAAGUUAAAAUCAAAUAUAACUAAACCAUUUUUUAUAUUUUUCUAAAUUACUGUUAAAAAAAAAUGUUAUCAAUGCAUAUAUGAUUACUUUCCUAAAGUUGUAAAUUCUUACCUUUACCUUACAAAUAUUUUUCAUAUAACUUAAGUGCAUAUAACCUUAUUAUGUAUCACUCUGUUCAUAAAAAAACAUAAAACACAGCUUUUUCUUUUCACUUUAACUGUCUUUUUAUUUAUUGUUAGUUUUUGAAGGUGUAUUUAUCACAUUAAUAUUCCUUUAUCUAUUAAGUAUGCCUUGAUUUUUCUUCAGAAGUUGUUAGAUUUUUAUGAUCAUUAUUGUUGUUCAUUCUAAAGACUUUUCAGUUAUUGUACAUGCAAGAAAUUAACAUAAUAUUCUAGUUCCAACUUAUAAAUAAUGCUUCUCUGUUUUCAUGUGUACAGAUGUAUAUUAGUAUGUGAAUAUAUUCAAGAGUGCUCACAAUAAAAAAUUAAGAGCU